rnacentral:rRNA from 1 species
GAUGAACGCUGGCGGCGUGCCUAACACAUGCAAGUCGAGCGAUUUACUUCGGUAAAGAGCGGCGGACGGGUGAGUAACGCGUGGGUAACAUGCCCUGUACACACGGAUAACAUACCGAAAGGUAUGCUAAUACGAGAUAAUAUACUUUUAUCGCAUGGUAGAAGUAUCAAAGCUUUUGCGGUACAGGAUGGACCCGCGUCUGAUUAGCUAGUUGGUAAGGUAACGGCUUUCCAAGGCGACGAUCAGUAGCCGACCUGAGAGGGUGAUCGGCCACAUUGGGACUGAGACACGGUCCAAACUCCUACGGGAGGCAGCAGUGGGGAAUAUUGCACAAUGGGCGAAAGCCUGAUGCAGCAACGCCGCGUGAGCGAUGAAGGCCUUCGGGUCGUAAAGCUCUGUCCUCAAGGAAGAUAAUGACGGUACUUGAGGAGGAAGCCCCGGCUAACUACGUGCCAGCCGCCGCCGUAA